AAGUCGUAACAAGGUUUCCGUGAGGUAGCAACCUGGCAGGAAGGAUUCAUUACUUGGAUGUUAGGGUCUUCAUGGCCCCGACCUCCAACCCUUGUGUUAAACAUACCACGUUGCUUCGGCGGGCCCGUCCUCUCGAGGACCGCCGGGGAGGUUUCCACCUCUCUGGCCCGUUGCCCGCCGGUGGCCAAACCACAAAACUCUUGAUAAACACUGUCGUCUGAGUUACAUUUAUUUAAUUAAAAAAUAAAA
rnacentral:misc_RNA from 1 species